GUGAAGAGCAGCCGGAGGAGGAGGAGGAAGGGGAGGGGGCGGGCAGAAUAAACUUCCCGAGGCGCAGCGCUGCGGCUUGGGCGGGGAGGCCGGGCGGGAAGGCCAGGCACGCCGACUGGAGGCGGCCCCCGGGGGCGACGGGGGAGACGGGGACCACGAGUGGAAAAGUUCCCCGGGCGCCGGGGGAAGGGGGGGGGGGGGCGGUGCGGAGAGGCUGCGGCGGCGGCGGCUGCAAAGAUCAGGAGCCGGAGCGGGAGGUGGAGGAGGAACGGGAGGAGGAGGAGGAGGAGGAAGUGGCUGCGGAGCGCCCGGCCAAUGAGUGUCUGGAGCUGUGAUUAACCAGCCAGCAACACAUCAUUUCCUCCCGGCGCGGAUCCAGGGAGUCGGGAGGGAGAGGCUAGGCAAGGCGGCGGGGCGGGGCCGGCCCCGCGCCCCCGGCCGACGCCGGGCCCCGGGGGCGAGGCCGCCGAGCCCCUCCAAGCCUGGCUGCGCCAACCCCCCGCCCCACCCCCGGCGCUGUCUGGCCGCCCGAUCGGUGGCCGCCGGCCGGGGGAGGAGGAGGUGGAGGCGCCGCCCCCGAGGCUCCUUGGAGGCGGCGGCGCUGGCCCGAGCCGGGGCCCCGGCGGCUGGGGUGGGAGGUGGAGAGGCCGCGCGGCUCGGGUGAGUGCCCAGAUCCGUUUGUGCAGAGGGCAUUUUAUUGGGUGACUGCAGUGCUGCAAAAGAUUGCAAAGGAAAUGGAAGACCUGGCCGUUGUAGGUCAGGGGUUGAUAAUCUAAUUAAAAGCAAGGGCAUAUAUACAAGGACCAGCUAAAAACAUAUGAUCUCCAGGUGUUAUAAUGACAAGAAUCUGGAGAUGGUCGUUGCUUCUUUAGUGUUGUUUUUCCCCCCUGAGAAGGGCUUUGUACCUAUAUGUUUGAUAGACAUCAGGUAUGGAAAUUCCAGGUCAAAUCCAGGCAACAGUACCUAGCUGUUUCCCUACUGUUAAGAAACAUUACAUCAGGGCUGGCAGUGUCAAUUCCUGGAGUAUCCUGUCACUGUUUUGACCUUGUGUUACACUUUUAGUGUCAGAAGGGAAUAAAGGCUGUCUCCUUCAAAUUUGAGGACAUCUUUUCCAGCUGUGUUUUAAGUGUCCAUCGUUGACAUUUACAGAGUCCUUUUACAGAAUGGCCCCUUUUUGGUAACCUAGUCAAUCGUCUCAUGGCUGUAAGCCCCAUGAAGGGGCAGGUUUGAUGCUAUCCACGACUAUCACCAAGCCCAAGUAGAAUACUACGUGUGUUCUUAAUAAAGACUAGCUCCACAAGUGAAUAAAUGAAUUGAUGAAUCUGCUUU